UACGUAGGGUGCGAGCGUUAAUCGGAAUUACUGGGCGUAAAGCGCGCGCAGGCGGCUUCGCGCGCCCGCCGUGAAAGCCCCCGGCUUAACCGGGGAGAGUCGGUGGGGACGGCGGAGCUUGAGGGCGGGAGAGGUCGGUGGAAUUCCCGGUGUAGUGGUGAAAUGCGUAGAGAUCGGGAGGAACACCUGUGGCGAAGGCGGCCGACUGGGCCGACCCUGACGCUGAGGCGCGAAGGCGUGGGGAGCGAACGGG
rnacentral:rRNA from 1 species